UAGGGAAUCUUCCACAAUGGACGCAAGUCUGAUGGAGCAACGCCGCGUGAGUGAAGAAGGUUUUCGGAUCGUAAAGCUCUGUUGUUGGUGAAGAAGGAUAGAGGUAGUAACUGGCCUUUAUUUGACGGUAAUCAACCAGAAAGUCACGGCUAACUACGUGCCAGCAGCCGCGGUAAUGCGUAGGUGGCAAGCGUUGUCCGGAUUUAUUGGGCGUAAAGCGAGUGCAGGCGGUCUUUUAAGUCUGAUGUGAAAGCCUUCGGCUUAACCGAAGAAGGACAUCGGAAACUGGGAGACUUGAGUGCAGAAGAGGAGAGUGGAACUCCAUGUGUAGCGGUGAAAUGCGUAGAUAUAUGGAAGAACACCAGUGGCGAAGGCGGCUCUCUGGUCUGUAACUGACGCUGAGGCUCGAAAGCGUGGGUAGCAAACAGGAUUAGAUACCCUGGUAGUCCAUGCCGUAAACGAUGAGUGCUAAGUGUUGGGAGGCUUCCGCCUCUCAGUGCUGCAGCUAACGCAUUAGGCACUCCGCCUGGGGGAGUACGACCGCAAGGUUGAAAC
rnacentral:rRNA from 1 species